GAUGAACGCUGGCGGCGUGCCUAAUACAUGCAAGUCGAGCGAACGGACGAGAAGCUUGCUUCUCUGAUGUUAGCGGCGGACGGGUGAGUAACACGUGGAUAACCUACCUAUAAGACUGGGAUAACUUCGGGAAACCGUAUCUAAUACCGGAUAAUAUUUUGAACCGCAUGGUUCAAAAGUGAAAGACGGUCUUGCUGUCACUUAUAGAUGGAUCCGCGCUGCAUUAGCUAGUUGGUAAGGUAACGGCUUACCAAGGCAACGAUGCAUAGCCGACCUGAGAGGGUGACCGGCCACACUGGAACUGAGACACGGUCCAGACUCCUACGGGAGGCAGCAGUAGGGAAUCUUCCGCAAUGGGCGAAAGCCUGACGGAGCAACGCCGCGUGAGUGAUGAAGGUCUUCGGAUCGUAAAACUCUGUUAUUAGGGAAGAACAUAUGUGUAAGUAACUGUGCACAUCUUGACGGUACCUAAUCAGAAAGCCACGGCUAACUACGUG
rnacentral:rRNA from 1 species